GUUACAAAGACAAGCAGCAGUUGAAAAGCUUUUUUAUGUGAAACUCUCUUUCAGACUACUCAACAGAUGAUGGUGGAAACCCAAUUUUUCCCACUGAUGGUCCAGGAGGUGUCGACCAAGGAGGCCUGAUAGCUGGCGCCGUCAUUGCAGCCAUUGUGAUUUUCGUCUUGAUCGUUGGACUGCUGUACUAUGUCUUCCGAGUCCGGGGGUAUAAACUGAGCGACUUAAGUCUUCCAGCGCGAACAGCCAGCCACGUUGACGCGCCCGCUUUCACCAACCCAAACUUUGCAGGAGAAACAUAAACCAUCAUUCAAGCUUUGUACAGUACAUCCAGUUUGAUACUUAAAAAAAAUAAUAAAUCAGCAAUAAUGCAGUUUUUAAGUCUACAGAGUUCUUAUAACUCUAUUAUAUGUAUUGUGAUACACUAAUGAAAAUCAAAUGUGUGAAAGGAUUAAACUUAAACGGCUGCACUUACACAUCUGAAGUGCAGCAGCUGUAAUGUUUACAGCACUUUGUGAUACAUGAUACAUGUCAGACAUGUUGUUAUUUAACAACCUUUACAACAAAAUACUAAACUGUGAUUCCAAUUUUCUUUGAGAA